UGGGGAAUAUUGCACAAUGGAGGGAACUCUGAUGCAGCGACGCCGCGUGAACGAAGAAGGCUUUCGAGUCGUAAAGUUCUUCUAUAUGGGAAGAUAAUGACGGUACCAUAAGAAAAAGCCCCGGCUAACUACGUGCCAGCAGCCGCGGUAAUACGUAGGGGGCUAGCGUUGUCCGGAAUCACUGGGCGUAAAGGGUUCGCAGGCGGAAAUGCAAGUCAGGUGUAAAAGGCAGUAGCUUAACUACUGUAAGCAUUUGAAACUGCAUAUCUUGAGAAGAGUAGAGGUAAGUGGAAUUUUUAGUGUAGCGGUGAAAUGCGUAAAUAUUAAAAAGAAUACCGGUGGCGAAGGCGACUUACUGGGCUCAUUCUGACGCUGAGGAACGAAAGCGUGGGUAGCAAACAGG
rnacentral:rRNA from 1 species